rnacentral:lncRNA from 1 species
GCCCUGUCCUUAGAGCUAUUCACCCCCAGCCCUGUCGUUAGAGUGAUUCACCCCAGUCCUGUCCUUACAGUUAUUCACCCCAGCCCUGUCCUUAGAGUGAUUCACCCCAGCCCUGUCCUUAGAGUGAUUCACUCCCAGCCCUUUCCUUAGAGUGAUUCACCCCAGCCCUGUCCUUAGAGUGAUCCCCCCAGCCCUGUCCUUAUAGUGAUUCCCCCCAGCCCUGUCCUUAGAGUGAUUCACCCCAGUCCUGUCCUUAGAGUGAUUCACCCCAGCCCUGUCCUUAGAGUGAUUCACCCCCAGCCCUGUCCUUAGGGUGAUUGACUCCCAGCCCUGUCCUUAGAGUGAUUCCCCCCAGCCCUGUCCUUAUAGUGAUGCCCCCCAGCCCUGUCCUUAGAGUGAUUCACCCCCAGCCCUGUCCUUAGAGUGAUUCACCCCAGCCAAGUACUUAGAGUGAUUCACCCCAGCCCUGUACUUAGAGUGAUUCACCCACAGCCCUGUCCUUAGAGUGAUUCACCCCCAGCCCUGUCGUUAGAGUGAUUCACCCCACUC